AGUAUAAGCCGAAUUAAGGUGAAACCGCGAAUGGCUCAAUAUAUCAGUUUUGGUUCCUUAGAUCGUACACAGUUACUUGGAUAACUGUGGCAAUUCUAGAGCUAAUACAUGCAAACGAAGUUCUGACCGGCAACGGGAGGAAUGCUUUUAUUAGAUCAAAAACCAAUCGGCGGCGGGGCGACCCGUCCGCCGCUCUCCGAGAUGACUCUAGAUAACUUUGAGCUGAUCGCACGGUCCAGUACCGGCGACGCAUCUUUCAAAUGUCUGCCUUAUCAACUGUCGAUGGUAGUUUAUGCGACUACCAUGGUUGUCACGGGUAACGGGGAAUCAGGGUUCGAUUCCGGAGAGGGAGCCUGAGAAACGGCUACCACAUCCACGGAAGGCAGCAGGCGCGCAAAUUACCCACUCCCGGCACGGGGAGGUAGUGACGAAAAAUAACGAUACGGGACUCGUCCGAGGCCUCGUGAUCGGAAUGAUUACACUUUAAAUCCUUUAAUGAGGAUCCAUUGGAGGGCAAGUCUGGUGCCAGCAGCCGCGGUAAUUCCAGCUCCAAUAGCAUAUACUAAAGUUGUUGCGGUUAAAAAGCUCGUAGUUGAAAUUGUGUCCUGCGGUGUCGGUCUACCGACUGCGGUACGACAGGCACGUCUGCGGGGCUUCUCGCCGGUGCGUCCACCGCCGGUGCGUGUCGCGACCUUCCUAACGGUCGGCCGCGCGCGUCGAGGCGGGCCGUCGCGGCUGUUUACUUUGAACAAAUUAGAGUGCUCAAAGCGGGCUAACACUUGCCUGAAUAUUGUACGCAUGGAAUAAUAGAAUAGGACCUCGGUUCUGUUUUGUUGGCUUUCUGAUACCAGAGGUAAUGAUUAAUAGGGACAACUGGGGGCAUUCGUAUUGCGACGUUAGAGGUGAAAUUCUUGGAUCGUCGCAAGACGGACUAAAGCGAAAGCAUUGCCAA
rnacentral:rRNA from 1 species